rnacentral:rRNA from 1 species
GGGCCCGCACAAGCGGUGGAGCAUGUGGUUUAAUUCGAUGCAACGCGAAGAACCUUACCUACUCUUGACAUCCUGCGAAUUUGGUAGAGAUACCUUAGUGCCUUCGGGAACGCAGAGACAGGUGCUGCAUGGCUGUCGUCAGCUCGUGUUGUGAAAAUGUUGGGUUAAGUCCCGUAACGAGCGCAACCCCUUGUCCUUAUUUUGCCAGCGCGUAAUGGCGGGAACUCUAAGGAGACUGCCGUGACAAACCGGAGGAAGGUGGGGACGACGUCAAGUCAUCAUGGCCCUUACGAGUAGGGCUACACACGUGCUACAAUGGUCGGUACAAAGGGUUGCCAACUCGCGAGAGUGAGCCAAAUCCGAAAAGCCGAUCUC